rnacentral:rRNA from 1 species
UACGGGGGGGGGCAAGCGUUGUUCGGAAUUACUGGGCGUAAAGCGUGCGCAGGCGGUUGUGCAAGACCGAUGUGAAAUCCCCGGGCUUAACCUGGGAAUGGCAUUGGUGACUGCACGGCUAGAGUGUGUCAGAGGGGGGGUAGAAUUCCACGUGUAGCAGUGAAAUGCGUAGAUAUGUGGAGGAACACCGAUGGCGAAGGCAGCCCCCCUGGGAUGUGACUGACACUCGAUGUACGAAAGCGUGGGGAGCAAACAGG